rnacentral:rRNA from 1 species
AAAUUGAAGAGUUUGAUCAUGGCUCAGAUUGAACGCUGGCGGCAGGCCUAACACAUGCAAGUCGAGCGGUAGCACAGAGAGCUUGCUCUCGGGUGACGAGCGGCGGACGGGUGAGUAAUGUCUGGGAAACUGCCUGAUGGAGGGGGAUAACUACUGGAAACGGUAGCUAAUACCGCAUAACGUCGCAAGACCAAAGUGGGGGACCUUCGGGCCUCAUGCCAUCAGAUGUGCCCAGAUGGGAUUAGCUAGUAGGUGGGGUAACGGCUCACCUAGGCGACGAUCCCUAGCUGGUCUGAGAGGAUGACCAGCCACACUGGAACUGAGACACGGUCCAGACUCCUACGGGAGGCAGCAGUGGGGAAUAUUGCACAAUGGGCGCAAGCCUGAUGCAGCCAUGCCGCGUGUGUGAAGAAGGCCUUCGGGUUGUAAAGCACUUUCAGCGGGGAGGAAGGCGAUAAGGUUAAUAACCUUGUCGAUUGACGUUACCCGCAGAAGAAGCACCGGCUAACUCCGUGCCAGCAGCCGCGGUAAUACGGAGGGUGCAAGCGUUAAUCGGAAUUACUGGGCGUAAAGCGCACGCAGGCGGUCUGUCAAGUCGGAUGUGAAAUCCCCGGGCUCAACCUGGGAACUGCAUUCGAAACUGGCAGGCUAGAGUCUUGUAGAGGGGGGUAGAAUUCCAGGUGUAGCGGUGAAAUGCGUAGAGAUCUGGAGGAAUACCGGUGGCGAAGGCGGCCCCCUGGACAAAGACUGACGCUCAGGUGCGAAAGCGUGGGGAGCAAACAGGAUUAGAUACCCUGGUAGUCCACGCCGUAAACGAUGUCGAUUUGGAGGUUGUGCCCUUGAGGCGUGGCUUCCGGAGCUAACGCGUUAAAUCGACCGCCUGGGGAGUACGGCCGCAAGGUUAAAACUCAAAUGAAUUGACGGGGGCCCGCACAAGCGGUGGAGCAUGUGGUUUAAUUCGAUGCAACGCGAAGAACCUUACCUGGUCUUGACAUCCACAGAACUUUCCAGAGAUGGAUUGGUGCCUUCGGGAACUGUGAGACAGGUGCUGCAUGGCUGUCGUCAGCUCGUGUUGUGAAAUGUUGGGUUAAGUCCCGCAACGAGCGCAACCCUUAUCCUUUGUUGCCAGCGGUUAGGCCGGGAACUCAAAGGAGACUGCCAGUGAUAAACUGGAGGAAGGUGGGGAUGACGUCAAGUCAUCAUGGCCCUUACGACCAGGGCUACACACGUGCUACAAUGGCAUAUACAAAGAGAAGCGACCUCGCGAGAGCAAGCGGACCUCAUAAAGUAUGUCGUAGUCCGGAUUGGAGUCUGCAACUCGACUCCAUGAAGUCGGAAUCGCUAGUAAUCGUAGAUCAGAAUGCUACGGUGAAUACGUUCCCGGGCCUUGUACACACCGCCCGUCACACCAUGGGAGUGGGUUGCAAAAGAAGUAGGUAGCUUAACCUUCGGGAGGGCGCUUACCACUUUGUGAUUCAUGACUGGGGUGAAGUCGUAACAAGGUAACCGUAGGGGAACCUGCGGUUGGAUCACCUCCUUACCUUAAAGA